rnacentral:lncRNA from 1 species
UACACUACAAUUAUAAGUACCAAUUAUGAAUUUAAAUAUACAAUACUAUCAUUAGACAUUACAGUCUGAACCAAUGAGCAUAUUAUGUAAUAAAUGAAAAGACAAAUGUAAUCAUUUAUUGAAAUUGAAUUUUUUGAAAAGUCAAUCAAUUUAGAGUUAUCUCCCCUUGACAUAAAUUUGUUAAUAAUAGUGUAACAUUUCAACUUUUUGGAGCAGAUACCGCUCUUUUUGUCCUCAUCUAAUUCAACAAUUAACAAACCUCUUUUCAAGGUGGAAGAAGAGGGAGGGGGAGGGGAAUAAAUUAUUUUAUGAAAAUUGAAUGUCACCAAAUUUCUGUGCGUUCUUCCUUUGGCAGCUAUUUGGAAAAGAGGCUGGAAAUUAAAACAUGUGCUUGAAGUAGCGCCCCCUUAUCAAUUGCAAAAUUCCAAAGAGUUUCAGGUUAGAUAAUCACAUAUGUACCAUCCGUAAUUUUUUCUACAUAUUUCGAAAAUUUACAAAACAUGAUGACACAAGACUGAAUACGAUUAAAAUUUAGUCUUUCAUUGUACCAUAAAGUCACCUAUGCUGCACAUAAAUGUAUUUAUGGUCCGCUAAAGUCAAAAUAACAACUAACACAUAUUAUGAUGAUGCAGGCCACAGAUGUGACAGUUUAUGUUUCAAAAUCAAUCAUAUCAAAAGAUACAUGUAAAAAAUUUGCAUACACUAAAAUAACAAUUAAAAACCAAUUGUUCAGAGAACAAUUGAAGGUCUUUCCACCAAAACAAUGUAUUUUAAUAUGAAAGGUGUAAAAAUAGGUUUAAAAUGUCAUUUCAAUCGUCAAAUGAUAGCUUAUUGUACGCUGAUUCCAAAAAUAUAUGGUUUCUAAACAAUAUUUUUUAGAUAAGGGAGAUAAUUUCUUACUUCCGGUUUGAAAAACUCUAUUUCCGAUAAUAUUUGACUAUUUACUUGACACUGAUUCCAAAAAUAUCUUGUUUUUUAUACUUUUAUGUAAUAAAGUACAAUAAAUAGCUACUUCCGGUUUACACAAGGUCACUUCCGGUUGUUUUUUUAAGUUUAAAUGGUUUGAUACCGUUUGUCAAAAAGUCUCAUGACUUUAUUAUGUAUACAGAUGGGGUAAAAGCAAAGGUCAAAAUCUAGAACGUCAAAUUAAGCUAUGACCUUGUGAUCAAUUUCAAGGUCAUUAACCAAGAACCUCAAAUCAAAAGACCAUAGGUCUUAAUUAUGUUUAGUUAAUGAGUUAUAUCACCAUACGCGUAUUUUUAAAUACCAAAGGGGAGAAAACUCCCUUUCACAUUCAACGUACCCUUGCAAUCAAAAUUUACGUGUUACGACAUGUCACAACAAACGAUUUAGAAAAAAUAAUUUGUCGAUAUCUUAAACGUUUUUUGGAAAUGAGUGGAAAUGAGCCAUAUUCAAAAAUUAGAAUAUGACCUUGACCUUUGACCUUGACCUAAUUUUCAUUUUUUUGGACCAAGGACCUCAAAUCAAAAGAUCCUAGGUCUCUAUCAAUUAUGGUUUACCAGUUAGAAAUGCAAUUCACUUAUAUCAAAUGAAUAAGGGGAAAUAACUCUCGUAUGGAGCAUUCAUAUCACUUCGGUCAAAAUAGGACAAAUCAUGCAAAGGAUAUAACGAGCAAUUUUGUAAAAUAAAUUUGUCAUAAUAUUUUACGUUUGCGAAGGAGUUGCGCUCACAAGGAAAACAGUGUUUGGGGAGAUAACUCCUACAAAGAAAAGUUUUCGGUUACGCAGGGUAAAUUUCAAAAGCGCAUCAAUUGUUCGAUAUCAUAUACCAAAUAUCUAAGCGACAUAUUGCGAAACAAAUGUUUAUCGCAAGAACAAAAUUAGGCGGAAGAAAAAAAAAAAAAAAAUUCAGAGAACAAUUGAAGGUCUUUCCAUCAAAACAAUGUAUUUUGAUAUGAAAAGUUGUGAAACUAAGUUUAAAAUGUCAUUUCAAUCGUCAAAUGAUAGCUCCUAGUAAGCUGAUUCCAAAAAAUAUAUUGUUUCCAUACAUUUUUUUUUAAAUAAGGGAGAUAAUUUGUUACUUCCGGUUUGAAAAAUGUUACUUCCGAUUAUAUUUGAAUAUUUACUUGACACUGAUUCCAAAAAUAUCUGGUUCUAUAUACUUUUAUAUUAAUAAAAGUACAAAAAAUAGCUACUUCCGGUUUACAAAAGGUCACUUCCGGUUGUUUUUUUCAAGGUUAAAUGGUUUGAUACCUUUUUCUAAAAGUUGUAUAUCUUUAUCAUGUAUACAUAUAGAAUAAAAGCAAAGGUCAAAAUCUAGAACGUCAAAUUAAGCUAUGACCUUGAGAUCAAUUUCAAGGUCAUAAACCAAGGACCUCAAAUCAAAAGACCAUAGGUCUUUAAUUAUAUUUAGUUAAUGAGUUAUAUCACCAAACGCGUAUUUUUAAAUACAAGAGGGGAGAAAACUCCCUUUUACAUUCAACGUACGCUUGCAAUCAAAAUUUACAUCUUACGACAUGUCGCAACUAACAAUUUAGUAAAAAUAAUUUGUUGAUAUCUUAUACAGUCUUUGGAUAUAAGUGAAAAUAAGCCAAAUUCAAAUAUUUAGAAUAUGACCUUGACCUUUGACCUUGACCUAAUUUUCAUUUUUUGGGACCAAGGACCUCAAAUCAAAAGAUCCUAGGUCUCUAUCACUUAUGAUUUAUAAGAUAGAAAUUCAUAUCACUUAUAUCAGAUGCAUAAGGGGAAAUAACUCUCAUAUGGAGCGGUCAUAUCGCUUCGGUCAAAAUAGGACAAAUCAUGCGAAGGAUAUAACGAGCAAUUUUGUAAAAUAAAUUUGUCAUAAUCUUUUACGGUUGCGAAGGAGAUGCGCUAACAAGGAAAACAGUGUUUGGGGAGAUAACUCCUACAAAGAAAAGUAUUCGUUUACGCAGGGUAAAUUUCAAAAGCGCAUAAACUGUUCGAUAUCAUAUACCAAAAUAUCUAAGCGACAUAUUGCGAAACAAAUGUUUAUCGCAAGAACAAAAUUAGGCGGAAGAAAAAAAAAAAAAAAUAAUCAGAAGAAAAACAAUAGGUCUUUCCACAGAAAAGUGGAAAGACCUAAUUAAUAAAAAUAAUCAAGACAUUACAGUCUGAACCAAUGAGCAUAUUAUGUAAUAAAUGAAAAGACAAAUGUCAUCAAUUAUUGAAAUUGAAUUUUUUGAAAAGUCAAUCAAUUUAGAGUUAUCUCCCCUUGACUAUAAAUUUGUAAAUAAUAGUGUAACAUUUCAACUUUUGGGAGCAGAUACC